GUGCUCACUUCGGCAGCACAUAUACUAAAAUUGGAACGAUACAGAGAAGAUUAGCAUGUCCCCUGCGCAAGGAUUUCUCUAUAUGCAUUAUUAUAUAAACAUGUCU